CGUCUAUAUACGUAUAGCAUAUCAAUAAGCGGAGGAAAAGAAACUAACUAGGAUUCCCUCAGUAACGGCGAGUGAAGCGGGAAGAGCUCAAAUUUGAAAUCCUCAAGGUUCUACCUUGACGAAUUGUAGUUUAAAGAAGUGUUUUCUGUUGGAGUUUUGGUAAAAGUUCUUUGGAAUAGGACAUCAUAGAGGGUGAGAAUCCCGUAUUUGACCAUUAUUUCCAACUUUGUGAUACACUUUCAAAGAGUCGGAUUGUUUGGGAAUGCAGUCCAAAAUGGGUGGUAAAUUUCAUCUAAAGCUAAAUACUGGCGAGAGACCGAUAGCGAACAAGUACCGUGAGGGAAAGAUGAAAAGAACUUUGAAAAGAGAGUUAAACAGUACGUGAAAUUGUCAAAAGGGAAGCGUUUGACACCUGUGUUGUUUUCUCGAAAAUCAAUUAAAAAUGGCGGGAUUUUGUGUUGUAUUGACUUUAUCAGCUUUCUGCACUUUUUUCCCGUCUUUUUUAAUGCACUUUUCGUUUAACAAGUCAACAUCAAUUUCUUUUGUUGUAAAAGGGUCAUUGGAAGGUGGCUUUCUUUUCGGAGAAAGUGUCUAUAGCCUUUGACUUCUGCAAUCGGAGAGAUUGAGGUCUGCAGCGUAGAUCCUUCGGGGUUAGAUAGCAUUUGUGCUAAGCUAUAGCCUUUCAUAGACAACUUGUUGACUAUGAUCAGUCAUGUAGCUUACUCGCUUAUGCUAUUUUACCUACGCUUAGGAUGUUGAUCUGUAGUGCGUGCGC
rnacentral:rRNA from 1 species